CCACGGACACCAUACGCCGGAUUCGAGCUAUAAUCAUGGCCAUCAGAUUUGAUUGGAGACGAGACGCUGGAUGGCAACAAGUGUCGGUACUGGUUGGCAGCUAGGACUACGUGUACUGGAGCGACUGGAGCAGCGGGGACAUUGAUCAAGACUGGCCAGAGCCACAGCCUCGCCAAGGACGUGCCCUGCAUCCCCGCCAGCUACGCCAAACUGCCCAAAUGUCGGUGUCCGGCAAGAAUAUCCGUGCCCAGCUUCUUGGGCGAACUUGCAGAAGCCUCGCAACAUUGCCGUGCAUGCCAUGAAGGUGAGGCGGCUGCUCUUCUGCUCAGAUGUCGGCAGUCAUCAGGCCAUCCGGACAGAUAAUUUUAAGUGGCGGGGAGUAGUGACAUGAACAACGACUGUAUAUCCGCCUUCUAGCGCUGAGACGAAAAGACUGCCCGGCAGAUUCAGCUGAUAGUCAGCCGAGGGCAACGACAAGGCUCUGAUCUGCAAUCGUACCACCUGUGACAACUGUGAAAAUGUCCACGACGAGGCCGACUGCUGCAAGCGGCCAGGAGAUUUUCAGUGAGAUUUUCAACAAGCUUUGCAUAUCGGCCGCCCUGCUCUGCGAUGGCUGGGAACUCUGCCCGAGCUAAAGAAUCGACUUCUAAUGGCUCCAUCGAAGAUAAUAAAUAAAACAGUAAGCAGGAAGCACGCCGUCAAGCACUCCCUUUUAAAGACUUUAAAAACACAAUAGAGAAUCUGCAGGAUAUUUCAUUUGAGGUGCAACGCGACCAAGCUGCGGAUGAAGAUGGAGCGAAAAGACUGGACGAGUGUGCCAGGUUACCACUACCACAAUGCCUUCUACAAGGACCCCAGGUCCAAAGGCGAUACCAGUUUAAGGUGGUAUAAACAGCAGUCAAGUUUUCGCGGAGUAUAGUCCGGUCCAACAUUCCACGAGCUCGAGAGGCAUCGAGAGCCAGCUCGCCUACUUGCAUACCCAGCCGCGAGGAAACUAAGGAGCUGAGUUAAAGGUUGAGCUGGCCAACGCUUUCAGCAAGAACGAGGUGCGAGUGGCCCAGAUCUUGCGGGACCGGAUAAAAUGAAAAAAGAAACACGUAUUUAAGGAUGUGUUAUGUGGUGGAUGUGUGCAACACCAGAAGGAAGCGGCUUCUUACCCCAUAAAGUAUGUUUAUUCUGGAUCAGCAUCAAUAACCUAGCCGAUAUAGCCAUGUCUGUCUGUCCGUCAGAUGAGCGCUUAGAUCUCGGAGACUAUAAUAGCAAGAGCAACGCUACGCAAACCUUUCCAUGCGCCUAAUCAUUCUCUCUCUCUCACACACACACUCUUCCUCGUGCUGUGCGCGUUACCGGCGGAAAGAAGCGAGACAGAAACACUGCUGGUGUUGGUAUGAGAAGAGGGAGAGAGAGAAUAAAAAACUGUUGAGGAAAAAUACAAGCAAAUGAAAUAUUCUAAAACUAAUAAAAUGCUUAAUAGGUGAAUAGAGGAUAAACGGAGAGCAACAAUUAACAUGAAAUCAUAACUAGUGGUCGUGGUUCCUCUCUAUUUGUCUCUCUAGAGAGAUAGAGAAUACUGCAGUCAUCAGCUCCGAUACCAACUCUGUGGCUUACGUAUAAUUAGGUAUGAAAUAUUUAUAUUUUGUAAGUUGUAUAAAUCAUAAGGCUCUCCCAUUGUAUGUACUGACUUAGUGGCCAAAUACUGCUUAUAGCAAUUUCUCUACGGUUCUGUCUGUGCUUAGAUUUACUUUUCUGAGUUCAGCUUUUCGUGACAAAGCACCUGCGAAAAACUAGCACAACGAAUUCAAUAAUGGAGGAACCAUAAUCAAUAAAGGAACCAGGAUACAUUCAAUACUGCAUGAACAUUCGGCCAUCAAAAAUAAUUGUUCUUGUAGGAUACUUCAUAAUUGACAAAUGCCCCAAAAAAAAUCUCAUCAAUUGAUGCUAAGAUGUGAUAUCCAAAUGCAGUCGUGGUCACUAAUCAUGGAUAAAAGAAUAUGAGCCCGAACACACAACAAUUGAUGCUAUGGGUGUUUUAAAACGGUGCAAAUUCUAAACCAAAUGUUAAAAACUGGUCAUGCCCCAACUUUUUGGGUAAAGAAAAGUAGGGAGAUCAUUCUGACAUUUUGAGAGCCAGAAGGGGUGCGAAAGUAGGUUAAAACUUCAAAAAAAUUGAUAUUCAUCGU